rnacentral:tRNA from 1 species
UAAGUGAACAUAGUUUAU